AUACGGAGGGUGCAAGCGUUAAUCGGAAUUACUGGGCGUAAAGCGUGCGUAGGUGGUUUGUUAAGUCAGAUGUGAUAGCCCCGGGCUCAACCUGGGAACUGCAUUUGAAACUGGCAUACUAGAGUAUAGGAGAGGAAAGUGGAAUUUCAGGUGUAGCGGUGAAAUGCGUAGAUAUCUGAAGGAACAUCAAUGGCGAAGGCAGCUUUCUGGACUAAUACUGACACUGAGGUACGAAAGCGUGGGUAGCAAACAGGAUUAGAAACCCUAGUAGUCC
rnacentral:rRNA from 1 species